GUGUGCACGCGCAGUUCUGGGCAGGAAUGCACAAGCCACACCGAGAUUUUACACGGAACAGGUGGCUAGCGGCCCUUGAUGGCCUGGCUCGUGCGUGUCCCACCCCCAUCUCUGCUGUGCCCACAUCUCUCCUUGUCUCCUUUUACAAGGACGGCAGUCAUGAGGCCGGGGGCCACCUAAUCCCAGACGGUGUCAUCUUAAUUAACCGCAUCGGCAGAGACCCUACCUCCAAGCAAGGUCACAUUCCGAGGCUCCGGUGGGCGUGAGUUCUGGGGACUGAUUCAACCCAGCGGUAACUAUAUACAGGAGGUGUUGGUGGAGAUUCCUGUGAGGUGUCCCCAGAGGGGUCAGAGGGUUCAGCUGGGCCCCCGGGAAUGCCGUCUGCACUGGUGGUGGCAGGUGGCUGAGUGCAGCUGAGAAGGAGUCUGGCUGUCUCCAGGGACAUUCGGGCCUCAGCCUCAGGCCUUGGGGGGCUGCCUCCAGUGCUGCUGAAGGUAUGCAGGACAGGAGGCCUGAAUCUUCCCCCACGCCCCCUCCCCUGUGACCUUGGGUGAAGGCCUGAGACCGGCCGCCUGGACACGGAAGGUGACGGGGGCCUGCGUUCCUGGGUGGGUGUGCCAGCAAGACUGUGCCUGGCGUGACCUGGGAGCCCCCAGCCAAGGGGCAACGGGGUCAGAGAAGAAAGCUGUCAAAUCCUUGGCUAAGACGAAGGCCUGGAAGGGUUUGGAAGGCCGUGUGAGCAGGCCUGGCAGGGUGCAGGUGUUCUGGACGCGGACAAGGUGGAGCACACAGCAUGCGCACCGGCACCUUGCUUCCUGCACUUGACAAUACUUUCUGGAGGGCUCUUAUCGGACGAACGGUGUCUGCACAAGUUCCCGCAAGCAGAGCUGCUGGGGUUUGACUUGCAGUUAAAAACAACAGUUUUCGUGACGCGGACACAUUGGACAUUCCGCCACUAGGAGGAACUGGGGCAAAGGUUUUAAAACAUUUUCACCAAGUUA